rnacentral:rRNA from 1 species
UCCUACGGGAGGCAGCAGUGGGGAAUAUUGCGCAAUGGGCGAAAGCCUGACGCAGCGACGCCGCGUGAGGGAUGAAGGUCUUCGGAUUGUAAACCUCUUUCAGCAGGGACGAAGCGAAAGUGACGGUACCUGAAGAAGAAGCACCGGCUAACUACGUGCCAGCAGCCGCGGUAAUACGUAGGGUGCAAGCGUUGUCCGGAUUUAUUGGGCGUAAAGAGCUCGUAGGCGGUUAGACACGUCGGAUGUGAAAACUGGGGGCUCAACCCCCAGCCUGCAUUCGAUACGGUCUGACUAGAGUGUGGUAGGGGUAACUGGAAUUCCUGGUGUAGCGGUGAAAUGCGCAGAUAUCAGGAGGAACACCGAUGGCGAAGGCAGGUUACUGGGCCACCACUGACGCUGAGGAGCGAAAGCGUGGGGAGCAAACAGGAUUAGAUACCCUGGUAGUCCACGCCGUAAACGGUGGGCGCUAGAUGUGGGGACCAUUCCAUGGUUUCUGCGUCGCAGCUAACGCAUUAAGCGCCCCGCCUGGGGAGUACGGUCGCAAGACUAAAACUCAAAUGAAUUGACGGA